UACGUAGGGUGCAAGCGUUGUCCGGAAUUAUUGGGCGUAAAGAGCUCGUAGGCGGUUUGUCGCGUCUGCUGUGAAAACUCGGGGCUUAACUCCGGGCCUGCAGUGGGUACGGGCAGACUAGAGUGCGGUAGGGGAGACUGGAAUUCCUGGUGUAGCGGUGAAAUGCGCAGAUAUCAGGAGGAACACCGGUGGCGAAGGCGGCAUCCUGGACCACGACUGACGCUGAGGAGCGAAAGCCAGGGGAGCAAACGGG
rnacentral:rRNA from 1 species